rnacentral:rRNA from 1 species
UACAGAGAUGGCGACCGUUGUUCGGAAUCACUGGGCUUAAAGGGCACGCAGGUGGAAACAGAAGUUGAUUGUGAAAGGUAAUGGCUUACCCAUUGAACAGCAGUCAAAACCAUGUAACUAGAGUAAUGUAGGGGUGAGUGGAACUCCUGGUGGAGCGGUGAAAUGCGUUGAUAUCAGGAGGAACGCCGGAGGCGAAAGCGGCUCACUGGACAUUAACUGACACUGAGGUGCGAGAGCUAGGGGAGCAAAC